UUCUCAAAUGCCUGACAGUGAUAUUUUUCCCGUGUACUAUUUUUGAGGUCUCUCCUUUUUUUUAUUUUUGGCUGUGCCACCCACAGCAUGUGGGAUCUUAGUUCCCCAGCCAGGGAUUGAACCCAAGCCCCUUGCAGUGGAAGCUAGGAGUCUUAACCACUGGACCACUAGGAGGGAAGUCUCUCUUUCGCUCUUUUUUUUUUCUUUAUUCCUUCCUUGCACAAGUAAUUACCGACCUCUGCCACAACCAACCCCAGGAGUUCGCUUCCUGCAGUAAUGGCCGCCUCUCUCCCUGGGCUCUCCCUUUGGAAAUAAACAUUCCUGGAAACCCUGACCCAAGACUGCCAAUUUCUAGCAAUGGCAACCCACUCCAGUGUUCUUGCCUGGAGAAUCCCAGGGAAGGGGGAGCCUGGUGGGCUGCUGUCUAUGGGGUCGCACAGAGUCGGACACGACUGAAGUGACUUAGCAGCAGCAGCAGCGUAGUUUCUAGAGCUUUCUGCGUGGGGGAUGAUUGCUUAAGGAGCUGCUAAGCAGAACAGAUGCUGUCUUGAAUUUUUCCUUCAGAAAAAACAGACUUUAAACCAACGGCUGCUUCUAAAUUACUUAUGAAACUAAUUUUUUCUUUAUUGAUUUUCACCUCCAUUUCCUGUUUUGUUUUUUUUUUCAGUUUCUGUACCUUCUAACACAACAUUGUUACCAUGUGUUUAUGGUUAUUAAAACUUUUAUUUAUCUAUUUGCAUUCUCACAGCAAAUGAGAGACUACAUGUAAACAGCCUUUUGUAACUGAAAUAUUAUGUAACCCUAGAGUUUAAAAAAACUUUUUUUCUGCUUGCUUUUUAUUUUAGCAAAGGACUUGUAAGCAAAGAACUGUUACAAUUCAAUAAUAAGGAGGAAGGCAAUCUAUUUUUUUUUAAACAGGCAAAAGAUUUGAAUUUGAACGGAUACCUUGUGAAAGAAAAGAAUGGCCAAUAAGUAUGCGAUAAAGUUUCAAUGUCAUUUGUCAUCGGGAAAAGGCAAAUUAAAACUCUAAUGAGAUGGUUCUAACUGUGGACUGGAAACAAGUGCAAAAAUGUGAGCUGUGAGCACAGUAGCAUUUAUUCAGUGUUCCAGUGAGAAUGACAGCCUGGGAGACGGCUUCUCGAUGAAUUCCCAUGAUUUACUUUUGCAAGACUGAAGUUUCAAGUUGCAGUAAAAACAAAAAUCAUAUUUAUAACAAGAAAAAAGUUAAACAUAAAAUGAUCUGCCCCUUGACCUCACCUCUCUGCACUGCGCAUUAUGUGUCUGCCUUAGGCAUCAACUGAAGCUCCCCUAUAAGCAGAAAUACCUGCUCAGCCAUAAACAGCAACAUUCUCCCUGUACCAAUAGAUAACUCCUCAAGAGAUAACAUUCCUUCUUGAUCUUGUAAAGGGUCACAUGAGCCACUACGAUGGCACUUCAGUCUGGAAUUGGCAAACUAUCAAUAGUAUGUCAUUUAAUGUACAGCCCUCUGUCUCAAAAAUGUCUUAAAUAAGCUAUGUCUUGACUCCUAGUGGGAGGGACAGUUCUCAGAGCUUUCUGAGAUGCUCUUCCCAGGUUAUAGUCCUCAAAUUUGUCUGGAAUAAAUUUUCCAAUUUUUUUCUUAGAUCGACUGAUUAUGUUUUCAUUGACAUUACCAAAAUCUGAGGACACUAUUUUAUUUUAUUUUGGUCGCACUCUGUGGCAUGUGGGAUCUCAGUUCCCCUUCCAAUAUCCCCUGCGUUGGAAGGGCAGAAUCUUAACCACUGGAUCAACCAGCAAAGUCCCUG
ensembl:lncRNA